rnacentral:rRNA from 1 species
CUACGGAGGAUCCGAGCGUUAUCCGGAUUUAUUGGGUUUAAAGGGAGCGCAGGCGGAGAUGCAAGCGUGACGUCAAAUUUCGGGGCUCAACCCCGUCUCGCGUCGCGAACUGCGUCCCUUGGUUGCGGGAAGGGGAGGCGGAACUCGUGGUGUAGCGGUGAAAUGCAUAGAUAUCACGAAGAACUCCGAUCGCGAAGGCAGCCUUCCGGCCCGUCAACGACGCUCAUGCUCGAAGGUGCGGGUAUCAAACAGGAUUAGAUGCCCUGGUAGUCCGCACAGUAAACGAUGGACACCCGCGGUUUGGCCUAUAUGGCUGAGCCGCCAAGCGAAAGCGUUAAGUGUCCCACCUGGGGAGUACGCCGGCAACGGUGAAACUCAAAGGAAUUGACGGGG